GGAGCGGCGACAAUUUUGGCUAGUCUAAGAAGGGCAUUCGAGUGACCGUUGACAACGGGUGGGACAGCGUCAGAGCUGGAGGGAGAGCCAGCACUGUAUGCUUCCAGGACUUCUUGCUAGGUGCAUUAGUUUUUAUUUUUAAGAGUUGGGUAAAAGACAUUAAUUAGUUAGCAUCUCACUCAUCGGCGAUUUUCUACGGUAUGAUUUCAUCCAAAGAGGAUUUCUUAAUCGCACUGUGUGACACCGUUAGGGGACUUAGAGUGUCACUCGCCGCCUUAAAUCCUUUCGGGAACAAGCCAGGAUAUAAAUAAAUAAAGCUAGGUGUGGGUCUUCCCUUCACAAGGCGCUGGUAGGCAGACUAAAGACAGGCAACAGCUGAGUGUGCACACAGAACUAAAUAUUGAACGAAAUACGAGUGUCGGAAUAAAAUUCAUUGCCAUGUGCACGGCUUAUGAUUAUACAGAUCUUGGACAUAUCACGGACCUGAACGUCAACCCUGCAACACCGGAUAAAACAUCUAAUGUAGCUGGAAUAGACUCUGAAAGGACGUUAGGCAUUAUCUAAAUCAAGUCCCUCAUUUUACAGAUGAGUAAACUGACUCAGUGAAGUAUUUUGCUCAAGGUCGUUCAUCAAAUUAGUAGUUUAAUUAACUCAGUGUUCUAGGAAGCAGGGUAGUAGAAAAGCAUGGGAUUCGGAGUCUGAAAUCUUCCUUGGUUUCUGGUCCUUGUAGGCUGUUUUACAAGUGUAUCUUGGGCAAAUCCCUUAACGUCUUGCCAUUUAUUAAGGGCUUACUUACCACGUGGCAAACAAUCCACUUUGCAUGCUGUGUCAAUUACAUGCAGUAUGUCGUGUAGUUAUUACUGUCCCCAUUUUAUGAGGUAGUUUAGGUUUAAAGAUAUUAGAAAUUUACCCAAAGUUACGCAGUUAUAAACAUUGUAGUAAUUUCAAACUCAGGUCUUCGUGACUGCAAAGGCUGCUGUCUUAAGUAUUGUAAUACAUUAGAGCUCCGGAUUCCCUCCCACUCAAAACAGAGACUGAGACUCCAACCAAUUUCCACCAUUAUUGGGAGUCAAACGAGAGAGACUGUGGCAAUGUAUUCUAAGCUGUACAAAGGUAUAAACAUAUUCACUAGAUUUGUAGAAUGAAGUUAUUCCUUCCCUAUACUUUCCACUACAACAAUUCAGCCAAAAAGAUGGCUUUCAUACUAAGCAUAAGAAGGAACUUCACUGUAAUUAUGAUAUUCUAACCAAGAAUAUAUGCAUAUCUAGGCAAUAACCAAAGUGAAUAGAAUAAAAUUUAAUUCCUGAUAGAUUAAAUAGGCAAUAGCAAGGAAUGCUAACGCUCCUCAUAGCGUUCUUGUUGGAAGAAUCAUCUAGGAGGCAUUGGGAUUUCUGGUGCUUUUUAAGCAAUGAGAGAUAUCAGUCCACUGAAUGAGGAAGAGAAUAACGUUUAGUUUCGGACUAAAAGUUCAUCUGGACUACGGAAAACACGUUUGCCUCAAUCAGUGAAGAAGGUAUGCUGAGAGCUGAAAGAAAAGGAAAGCAGCAACAGUGAGAGCUCAGAAAUUCCCAGACUGUUUUGAUGAUAAGGUCCAAGAACUUGCCAUGUGAUCCAUCACUACUAGACUCCCACAACUGCAUUAGAUUUGUUCAGGAUUUUCAUAUAAUUUUCAUAACUGGCUAAGCAUUGGAAAUGGAUGGGGAGAAGGCCUGAUGAAAAUUACUGAGGAAGCCUCUUAGCCUAUGUGCUCUGAGAGUAGUGACACCUAGCAGUCGUUUCAAGUUGGUGUGUAUCUGCAAAGGCGAUGGAAAGGAGUUCUUACAUAUGCAUAUUCUGAAGAAGGAUGUUACCCUUACUGAAAAACUUAUUCCAAGAUAUGUUUAAUCAAUCAUGAGAAAAAUAAAGAGACAUCCUUAUGAAUGGAGAAUAAAGUCCUCAGGGUUUUUUUCUAAUUCCCCAUGUGAAUGAAGAGCUGUGUUAUUCUAAAUAUA
ensembl:lncRNA NOVA1-DT NOVA1 divergent transcript